rnacentral:ncRNA from 1 species
CUGAGUGGUCAUGCUGAGCUUGUCGAAGCAUCUCUACCGCUUCGUUGUACCGCUCAAAUGAAGCGGUAGAAAUGCUUCGACAAGCUCAGCAUGACCGCCCAAGAACUUUCUAAACAGCUUCAAUAAACCAAAAAGGCCGCCUCAAGUUGAGGUGGCCUUUU